UUACGGCUAUAUCAAGUUGAAACAACUGUUCCCGUACGAUUACCGAAGUUAAGCAACGCUCAACCCGGUCAGUGCCUAGAUGAGUGACUGCUUGGGAAUACCAAGUGCUGUAAG